UACGUAGGGUGCAAGCGUUAAUCGGAAUUACUGGGCGUAAAGCGUGCGUAGACGGUUACGUAAGUCGGGUGUGAAAGCCCCGGGCUCAACCUGGGAAUUGCAUUCGAGACUGCAUAGCUAGGGUGCGGAAGAGGGAAGCGGAAUUUCCGGUGUAGCGGUGAAAUGCGUAGAUAUCGGAAGGAACACCAGUGGCGAAAGCGGCUUCCUGGUCCAGCACCGACGUUCAGGCACGAAAGCGUGGGGAGCAAACAGG
rnacentral:rRNA from 1 species